rnacentral:rRNA from 1 species
UGGGAUACCCCUGAGAAAUUGGGGACAAUACCAGAUAGGGCAUCGAUAGCUGGAAUGCGCGAUGUCCAAAAGCUGAGGCGCCCAAGGAUAGGUCUGCGGCCGAUUAGGUUGUUGUUGAUGUAAUGGAUCAACAAGCCUGCAAUCGGUACGGGUUGUGAGAGCAAGAGCCCGGAGAUGGGUUCUGAGAAAAGAACCCAGGUCCUACGGGACGCAUCAGGCGCGAAAACUUUACAAUGUGCGAAAGCACGAUAAGGGAACUCUGAGUGCCUCCUAUGGAGGCUGUUCAGGUGUCUAAAAAGCACUUGAAGUAAGGGCUGGGUAAGACCGGUGCCAGCCGCCGCGGUAACACCGGCAGCCCAAGUGGUAGCCACGAUUAUUGGGUCUAAAGCGUCCGUAGCCGGCCAGGUAAGUUCUUUGGGAAAUUUAACCGCUCAACGGUUAAGCUUUCAGGGAAUACUGCUUGGCUUGGGACCGGGAGAGGUCAGAGGUACUUCAAGGGUAGGGGUGAAAUCCGUUAAUCCUUGAGGGACCACCAGUAGCGAAGGCGUCUGACCAGACCGGGUCCGACGGUGAGGGACGAAGGCUAGGGUCGCGAACCGGAUUAGAUACCCGGGUAGUCCUAGCUGUAAACGAUGCGGGCCAGGUGUUGGCAUUACUGGGAGUGAUGUCAGUGCCGAAGGGAAGCCGUUAAGCCCGCCAUUCUGGGGAGACGGUGCAGCG